rnacentral:rRNA from 1 species
GAUCAUGGCUCAGAUUGAACGCUAGCGGGAUGCCUUACACAUGCAAGUCGAACGGCAGCACGGACUUCGGUCUGGUGGCGAGUGGCGAACGGGUGAGUAAUGUAUCGGAACGUGCCUAGUAGCGGGGGAUAACUACUCGAAAGAGUAGCUAAUACCGCAUACGCCCUACGGGGGAAAGGGGGGGAUCGCAAGACCUCUCACUAUUAGAGCGGCCGAUAUCGGAUUAGCUAGUUGGUGAGGUAAAGGCUCACCAAGGCGACGAUCCGUAGCUGGUUUGAGAGGACGACCAGCCACACUGGGACUGAGACACGGCCCAGACUCCUACGGGAGGCAGCAGUGGGGAAUUUUGGACAAUGGGCGCAAGCCUGAUCCAGCAAUGCCGCGUGCAGGAAGAAGGCCUUCGGGUUGUAAACUGCUUUUGUACGGAACGAAAAGGUCUGGGUUAAUACCCUGGGCUCAUGACGGUACCGUAAGAAUAAGCACCGGCUAACUACGUG